GUUCACCUCUCACUCAAGUAAAAUCCAAAGGCCGAACUACGAAAUUCUUCAGGCUGAAAAGAUUUUUUUUUUUUUUUUGAAAUUACGUGAAAAGCUUGUUACAAGUUUUUUCUUAGCGAAGUUAGUUGAAAAAAAAAAUGGAAGACUCUCUACGACUCCAGAGCUUCGAUCGACUCCCAUCAGCUGCACAGUUUGCCUCUCAGAUUGAAUCUCGAAAUGUUCCCGCCGUGUUCGUUGGAUGCGUUAAGGACUGGAAAGCCGUUUCGAAGUGGAAUCCUUCUAAUGGAGGCCUCGGUUAUUUGGAGGAACGGGUAGGAUCAUUCAUGGUGGAGGCUAUGUUAUCUCAAACUGCACCGGUGUUUUACGGUGAUCUUAGAAGCCAUGAGAGGGUUCCAUUACCAUUUUCCACUUUUAUUGGCUUUUGUAAAUGGCAUAGGCAAAAUGUUGGUAAUUCUUGCAGUAUUAAUUCUAAUUCACAAGGGCAUCAACUUGGAGAAUCUGACACAGAGCAAGGCUGUUCAACAUUUGUAGAUGCUGCUCCAAAACAAAUCUACCUAGCACAGAUUCCAAUUAUAAAUGCUGAGAAUGAAGCGAGAGUUCAAUUGGAAACUCUACAGGAGGACAUUCAGUUGCCUGCAAUUUUGGAGGAAAAAAAUCUUUCUUCAAUUAAUUUGUGGAUGAACAUUGCUCAAGCUAGAUCAAGUGCUCACUAUGACCCUCACCAUAAUCUUCUAUGUAUAGUCACUGGAAGAAAACAAGUUGUUUUAUGGCCCCCUUCUGCAAGUCCUAUGCUAUAUCCCAUGCCUAUAUAUGGGGAGGCCUCAAACCAUAGUUCUGUUGCUUUGGAAAACCCUGAUUUUUCAAUUCAUCCAAGAGCGCAAUGUUCCAUGGAAUACUCUCAGAAGGUUACUCUUCAAGCGGGAGAUGCACUUUUCAUUCCCGAAGGCUGGUUCCACCAAGUAGAUAGCGAUGAGUUGACUAUGGCUGUUAAUUAUUGGUGGCGCUCCAGCAUAAUGUCUAGCUUGGCAGACCACAUGGAUGCAUAUUAUUUGCGCAGAAUACUUAGAAGAUUGACAGACAGAGAAAUGGAUCAAGUGCUUCUGAAGGGUUCUACUCCUACGUGGAGACAGGAGAGUAAUGUAGACCAUAGCUUGGAUCAGGCUGGGCAGAGCAAGGAUUUGAAAAGGAAAGAACAAGAACAACAUAGCCUUCUUUUGCAUGAAUUGAGACCCUGUGCUCUCCAGGCCCUUCAUGAACUGGUUGCAUUAGUUCAUGACCGUGUUAAUGCUUCUGAUCAAAAUCAACCAGUGUCGUCUGAUUCAACAAAUGGUUUGAUGUGUUCUAAGACAAAUGAGCAAGAUAAAACUUUAACAACUGAAAUAUUUCAUUUAGAAGAAGAUCCUGUAGCUAAAAUUCUUUGGAUCCUUGAACCAGGCAUCUUUAAGGAUAUUUUUCUUGCCAUGGCGCAUAACUUCCCCAGAACUUUGGAAGCUCUAGUACUGCACUUACUUUCACCAGUGGGGGCAGAAGUCCUUACACGGAAGUUUGAUGAGAUAGAUCAGCAGCACACCGAAGAAAAUCAGAACAAAUUCUACCAGAUAUUCUAUGGGGUUUUUGAUAACCAAUUUGCAGCAAUGGAUGCUAUUUUAAAUGGGAAAGAAUCAUUUGCACGCCAGGCAUUCAAAAAUGUGUUGGAUAAAUACGUAGGAGGGAACUUUGAUGUACCAAAACUGAGUGUUGGGCGAGACAUCUCAUGACUCAAGAUUCUUCUUUAGGGAAUUGGUCCCAUGGAGAUCUGAGGAUAGAAAUUGAUGCAUAUUUCAUCUCAGAAGCUUUCUAUCGCAACCGGUACUUCUACAUUCCUUGAACUUGGCAAUUAUUCUCACAUUGGAAAAGAGGGAUUUGCAGCUGAAGGUAAAACAAAAGGAAAGCAUAGAAAAGAAGGGUUUGGUAAUUAUUGGAAAAAGGGCAGAAGUAAGGUAUGUUGAGAUGAGAUUCCCUGAUGUAAUAUGACAUAUAGAAUAUAAUAUUCAAACUCCUAUUGAGAGAGAAGAGAGGUGAAUUAUUGCAUGUUUAGAUAAUACUCGUAAACAGUGAACUACUUUGAACUAUUUUCAUUAAUCCAAAUGCUGUCUCUGUUGGAAUGUACUAGAA